AGUGAACGCUGGCGGUAGGCCUAACACAUGCAAGUCGAACGGCAGCACAGUAAGAGCUUGCUCUUACGGGUGGCGAGUGGCGGACGGGUGAGGCAUACAUCGGAAUCUACUUUUUCGUGGGGGAUAACGUAGGGAAACUUACGCUAAUACCGCAUACGACCUACGGGUGAAAGCAGGGGAUCUUCGGACCUUGCGCGAUUGAAUGAGCCGAUGUCGGAUUAGCUAGUUGGCGGGGUAAAGGCCCACCAAGGCGACGAUCCGUAGCUGGUCUGAGAGGAUGAUCAGCCACACUGGAACUGAGACACGGUCCAGACUCCUACGGGAGGCAGCUGUGGGGAAUAUUGGACAAUGGGCGCAAGCCUGAUCCAGCCAUACCGCGUGGGUGAAGAAGGCCUUCGGGUUGUAAAGCCCUUUUGUUGGGAAAGAAAAGCAGCAGGUUAAUACCCCGCUGUUCUGACGGUACCCAAAGAAUAAGCACCGGCUAACUUCGUG
rnacentral:rRNA from 1 species